UCAGUCAGUCAAUCAGGUGCGGGCCGUUUGAGCAAGGCUUUGUGAGGCCUCUGAGGGGACCUGGCGGUGGCGGCCACGGCUGGACGGGCCGCCCACCAGUUGAACUUCGACAGCUGAGGCGGCUGAGGAGAUUAGACUCCAGAGAAAUGAUGUUAGGAAAUCUAAACUGAAAUGGACCCCAGAGCAAUUGAAGAAAGAAAGAGUCAAGAAAUAAAAAGUUGCUGAUUCCAGUCUAGAGGAAACA
rnacentral:lncRNA from 13 species